rnacentral:rRNA from 1 species
GACGAACGCUGGCGGCGUGCUUAACACAUGCAAGUCGAACGGAAAGGCCCUGCUUGCAGGGUACUCGAGUGGCGAACGGGUGAGUAACACGUGGGUGAUCUGCCCUGCACUUCGGGAUAAGCCUGGGAAACUGGGUCUAAUACCGGAUAGGAGCCAUUUUGAGUGUGAUGGUUGGAAAGUUUUUUCGGUGUGGGAUGGGCUCGCGGCCUAUCAGCUUGUUGGUGGGGUAAUGGCCUACCAAGGCGGCGGCGGGUAGCCGGCCUGAGAGGGUGGACGGCCACAUUGGGGCCUGGGAUCGGCCCAGACUCCUACGGGGGGGAACAGGGGGGAAUAUUGCAAAAUGGGCGGAAGCCCGAUGCAGCGACGGCGCGUGGGGGAUGACGGCCUUCGGGUUGUAAACUCCUUUCGCUAGGGACGAAGCUUUUUGUGACGGUACCUAGAUAAGAAGCACCGGCUAACUACGUG